GCUCGUAUAGCUCAGUUGGUUAGAGCUUCGUACUAAUAUUUCGGGUCCAACGACUCCAAUGUUGGUAAUGCGGAGGUCGCAGGUUCAAGCCCUGCUAUGAGCA
rfam:Trichoderma gamsii strain T6085 Scaffolds0035.1, whole genome shotgun sequence.